rnacentral:rRNA from 1 species
CCUACGGGCGGCAGCAGUGGGGAAUAUUGCACAAUGGGGGAAACCCUGAUGCAGCGACGCCGCGUGAGUGAAGAAGUAAUUCGUUAUGUAAAGCUCUAUCAGCAGGGAAGAAAAUGACGGUACCUGAGUAAGAAGCCCCGGCUAACUACGUGCCAGCAGCCGCGGUAAUACGUAGGGGGCAGGCGUUAUCCGGAUUUACUGGGUGUAAAGGGAGCGUAGACGGCAGUGCAAGUCUGGAGUGAAAGGCGGGGGCGCAACCCCCGGACUGCUCUGGAAACUGUACGGCUGGAGUGCAGGAGAGGUAAGGGGAAUGCCUAGGGUAGCGGUGAAAUGCGUAGAUAUUAGGAGGAACACCAGUGGCGAAGGCGGCUUACUGGACUGUAACUGACGUUGAGGCUCGAAAGCGUGGGGAGCAAACAGGAAUAGAUACCCUGGUAGUC